rnacentral:rRNA from 1 species
UGGGGAAUUUUGGACAAUGGGCGCAAGCCUGAUCCAGCCAUACCGCGUGAGUGAAGAAGGCCUUCGGGUUGUAAAGCUCUUUCAGACGGAAAGAAACGGUCGCGGCCAAUACCCGCGACUAAUGACGGUACCGUAAGAAGAAGCACCGGCUAACUACGUGCCAGCAGCCGCGGUAAUACGUAGGGUGCGAGCGUUAAUCGGAAUUACUGGGCGUAAAGCGUGCGCAGGCGGUUUGGUAAGACAGAUGUGAAAUCCCCGGGCUUAACCUGGGAACUGCAUUUGUGACUGCCAGACUAGAGUGUAGCAGAGGGGGGUAGAAUUCCACGUGUAGCAGUGAAAUGCGUAGAUAUGCGGAGGAACACCGAUGGCGAAGGCAAUCCCCUGGACCUGUACUGACGCUCAUGCACGAAAGCGUGGGGAGCAAACAGGAUUAGAUACCCCCGUAGUCCCUGAGCGGGCUGGCAAGGCGCAU